GCGCCCUUCGUCUAGUGGUUAGGACGCCGCCCUUUCACGGCGGUAACACGGGUUCGAGUCCCGUAGGGCGUACCA
rnacentral:tRNA from 1 species